GAUGAACGCUGGCGGCGUGCUUAACACAUGCAAGUCGAACGGGAUCCAAGGGGUGCUUGCACUUUUUGGUGAGAGUGGCGAACGGGUGAGUAACACGUGAGUAACCUGUCCUUUUCUUUGGGAUAAGCAUUCGACAGGGUGUUUAAUACCUUAUGUUCUGUCUGCCUCGCAUGGGGUGGGUGGGAAAGGCUUUGGCCGGAUUUGGGUGGGCUCGCGGUCUAUCAGCUUGUUGGUGGGGUGAUGGCUUACCCAGGCUUUGACGGGUAGCCGGCCUGAGAGGGUGGUCGGUCACAUUGGGACUGAGAAACGGCCCAGACUCCUGCGGGAGGCAGCAGUGGGGGAUAUUGCACAAUGGGCGAAAGCCUGAUGCAGCGACGCCGCGUGGGGGAUGAAGGCCUUCGGGUUGUAAACUUCUUUUGCUCUGAACAAGGCAAGCCAGUGGGUGUGUGGAGUGUAGGGGUUGAUGAGCGCCGGCUAACUACGUG
rnacentral:rRNA from 1 species